GAAGUUCCUACAGGUCGAUUUGUUGUUGAGUGCAUAAUGCCUUCAAGCUCGGUCUUGUGUUGCCUGUGUGUUCGUUGUGUUGUUGUAUAAGUGUUUGUACUUGCUAGUGGAGGGUCGCCACUUAAUUGACUUCCAUACGGAGGUAAAGUCGUGAAAAUUUUUUACCAGGGUCCAAUGGUGAGUGCCAAAUGAUAUUGCUAGGAUCUUAAGCGUGACUUUACGGAUGAUGGAAAGAUCAUAGUGGUGACUUUGAGAGCUCUUACUGGUCGAAAUGAAAUUCCUUGCUGUUAAGUAGAGGUAAAUCCACCUGCAAAAGAUUAUUUAACGCUCAAGUCAAUAAGAGAGCUAAUGAUCUUUAUGAAUAUAGUGAGUAUAAGUUAUUAUGAAGUGAAUAUUCCUUGGGGAACACUAGUUUUAUUUAUAAGAUCAACAUGGACCAUGAGCCUUUGUUUCUAUUAGAAUAAUAUUUACCUCAAGCAUAUAAUAACAAUGUAGUUAAUAGAAUAAUAAAUAACCAUAACACCAAAUUGCAAAGAUUAGUUAUAUUAUGUGAAUAUUAUCAAAAUAGACAUAUGUUUGGCCUACUCCAUAAUGAGGAGGCUUAAUGGUCUUUAUUGGGACAUGCUCUUUAAUAUGUCUAGUGGGUCAGAUAGGAACAAAAUCAAACCAAUUUCACAUAAUCCCCAAAUUCACUUUCCAUUUCAUGUAGAUUUUGUGUUCCCAACUUGUUUGCCAGAUUCAUCCUUAUUCAAGCUUAAACUCCUAUUCAUGACAAAUAACCCUUCUGACACGUUAACCAUUUACGCAGAAGGUUUGUUGACGCUAUCAGCAACUGAUAAGUGGUAUAAGAAUGAAGGAGAAAGGAACUUCGGAAAAGAAAAAAAAAAAAACUCUUUGGUUACUUAAAAAAAAAAAACUUAUGAUGGAGUUUUGGAAAGUAUUUCCAUAUCCAAAACUACUUUAUGAUGGUUAUUUCAAACUAUAAAAAAAUGUUUUGAAAUGUAUUUAAUAUUUUUAGGAAUAUUUAUUUUGAAAAUUAUUUUAUAUUUCAAAUGGGAGUGUUUUGGAAUAUUAAUAUAUAAUUUUUAAAUUCUAGAAAAAAAUUUCUUAUAUUUUGGAUUGGAUAUUUUAAAAGAUCUUUGUCAAAUUCAAAAAUAUCUUUUAGAACAUCCGAUCUAAAAAAAUAUCAAAAAUAAGGUGUAAAGAUUUUUAUUAUAUUUUUAAUGAGAUAAUUUGAAUAGUACAAUAAAAUAUUAAAUAAAAAAUAUAAAAAUAUCUCAUGUUAAGUUAAUUAACUAAAUUUGAGAUUUCAUUCAUUUGUCAGUUUUACUUUUAAUCAUUUAGGCAUUAAUGUGGGAGUUCUUUUCUGAACCUCUUUGUUCUUCAGAAAAAAAUUAUAUAAAAUAAAAAAAAAAUUAGGUAAGUAAUAAUUACUAUUUACCAUCCCAAGUCUUCAUGCAUUUUCUUCUUUUAUAAUAUUUUUUUUAUUUAUCAAAUUUUAAAAUUUGAUUUAAGAGACUUAUUAGAUUUCAAAAUCCAAUUUAGAAAUUAAUUGGAUUUCGAAAUCUGUUUAAAAAACUCACUAAAUUUUGAAAUUCACAUUAAAAACUCAUUAUAUUUUGAAACUCAACUAAUUUUAAAAUUUAAUUUAAGGAGUUAUCGAAUUUUAAAACUAGGUUUCAAAAUGAGAUAACUACGUUUAUCUAAUUUCAAAAUUUGGUGAACUCUAAUAUAAUAUAUUUAUGUAUUUUAAUUCAUAUUAUUAUUAAUAGUAUUAAUGAUAUAAUUUUCUAUCAUUAUUUUUAUUUAUUAUAACCGAAUUCAUCAAUGAAAACAUAUUUUAUUCUUUAAAUAAUUAAUUUAAUUUAUGGUGUUUAUUCAUACUUACUCAUUAAUAAUAAUUGAUCUUCGAAUUAAUAAUAAAAUUUUCAAGGUACUGUGACACUCUAAUAACAUGUUUACAUAAUAAUAUAAAAAUUAGAAUUUAUACUUUUACUAACUUUAAUGUAAUUUACGGUUCAAGGUUUUUUGCAUUAUCCUUGUUAGAAAGAUAGUUUUUGCAUUAAGAGAAAAUUUAGAGGUGCAUGAAGAAACCUUGAAGGUACAAGAAGAUAGUUUUUGCAUUAAAAGAAAGUUUAGAGGUGCACGGAGAAACCUUGGAGGUACAUGAAGAAGCCCCUUAAUAAACCUUGUCUAUUAAUAAAUUAGUUUCACCACAGUUUAUCUUAAUAAUUUUUAAUUUAUUUUCUUAAGCCACUUUAAGUAAUUUAUGAAAAUAAGCUAAAAUGCUACCUUUUAUUUUCUAUUACUUUUGUUGUUGUUAAUUUAUUUAAGAUUUCUUUUUACCUCAGAUAAUUAAAGGUCAUUUUAUUUUAUAACUUAUCAUCUAAUUUCAUCAAACACUUUCAAUUUUAUAAGUUACUUUACAAGAUCAAUGUGUUUUUGACUGAACUUAUACGUUUGUAAGCUUUUCACCUACUUCAUAAGGAGUUUUUAGUAUAAGCAAAUUUAUUAGAGACAAAAAAAAAGGCAAGCAUCAGAAUUGCAUACAACAACAGUACCAUGUUUGGCUUAACUGCAGCUGAGAAUGCUACUUAAACAUAUGUUCUUCAUAAAUAAUACACAGCCAGCUGAUAUGGAUAUAUAAAGCUGCUAAGUGAGGCAUGGUUAACAACAAAAUAAAGUGUAAGUAUAGUGUGUUCAUUUCUUCACUUAGAGGUUAUAACCCUUUUCAAUGAAAAAUUCUUUAGUUUUUCUACAUCUUGUACGAUUUUGUAUCAGAAGUUGAGUGAGUGAGUGGCAUCGUGUGCAAUGGAGUGAGGCAUCUGUGUGCCCGAGUGUGUGGAGAUCAUAAAGAGAUUAACAAGGAUACGGUCAACAAAACAUCAUCCUAAAAGAUGAGAUCAGAAAUGUCAUUUGCAAAAACACCAUUUCACAAAAAUGUAAAUAAAUAAAAUAAACGUUUGUGAAUGAAGUUGCUGAAUGCAGGUUGUUCUUCAAGAAGUUAAGAGAGAAAUUUCACCACCAAAUUUACAGAGUACAGAUUCAGAGCGUUAGGAUUGAUCAACUUAUGCAAUCAUAACCUUAAGCAUGAUACAACAGUUAAAUACUACGAAUUCAACCUGCAAAAAUACAAAAGAGGACAAGAAACUAUCACCACACACAUCGAUAUGUGACAUGCAUCUGGGUGAUUUCACCACUAUAGGUAACUUUAACUACUUGGCCCCUCUCAAGUCCAUAAUAUCGUGCAAUUGCAUCAGUCUUUAGCAUGCGGGGAAGCUGAAAACACCAAAACUUAAUAUAAGAGUGCUUGUCUUGGAAUAUGAAAUUUAACAUUCAUGCAAAAGUUAUACUAUGAUAUGUUCUCAACUAUUAUUAUCACACAAUUUCGUCUAUCGAUAGCACAUGGAGAAGCUAAGAACAAGAAAGCUUAACAUAUAUGUUCGACUAUGAAAAUAACACAGAAUUUAAGAUCCAUAGAAUAGAAUACAAUUUGUAUAUGUUUAAUAGAAGAAUGAAUACAAAUAUCAGUAUUCCAUAUGGCUAAGCACAUUUAAUCAGAACAAACAUGUUUCCAUCAUUUCAAGAAUAAAACUUAUAUACUAAUUUCUCACCAUUGGUUCAUUAAAUUCAUUUUAUUUCUUUUUAUCAUGUACUUUGGCAACAGACUUCUUCAGAUCUUUUGACUCUAUAUGCAGAAGUCAGACACACAUCAGCCCUGUUUAAAAUGUUCUUGCUGUAUCAUACAGAACUUGCGGGGAUAUAUUAGAUAAGUCCUUAAAGAUUGAGCAGAUCUUAGCACAACACUCUUUCUAAAUGCAGUGGAGUUUACAACUCAAGGUCAUGCAUUGGUUUUCACAAUUACCGUGACGGAAAGUGUAUAUGUUUAUCUAUAUUUGUAUUUACUACAACAUGAUUAAGUACAACACUAUAGCAGGCCACUACUUGAGAAACCACAGCAAAGUAGCACAUAUCUAGGCAACAAUUGAGUCAAUUAUCAAAGUGUAAAAGUUUAGUUAAAUAUUUCAAUGUGAAACCAAUGCGAUCUCCAACAGAAAUUGGUUUCAUUGGGUAAAGUCAAAAUGCAACUUCGUUUUAUCUACACAUGACUGAAUCUAAACUGCACAAGUUCACUGAAGAUGCACCAUAGAAAAAUUAAUAACUUAAAUAGAAGGGUCCAUAUCCAGGGCAUAGACAAUUCAGAAAGACGAGGUUCGUGUCUGAGACAGGCUUUUCCAAAUUGCAUUAACUGACCUGCUUUUCUUCUAUAUUGAACUUCUUCAGGAGAUUUUUCUUCUGCCUAUCAGUCAGCACUUGAUGCUUUGGCUUCAACACAUGCUUUGUAAUAUUAACAAGCAAAUCUGUGAUCUGAACAGCAAGGAAAAAAGAUUUACACGGGUUUUUGGGCAAUAAACGAAGUUUUUGUCAGCAUAGAUAAGAAAAUCAGUCAAUAAGUUUCAUAUUAGAGGAAAAUGAAAUAAUAGAGACAUCUUUCAUGUUAUAGGUAUUAUUAAAAAAACAACUUAGUUGUAACAAGGGCAAGUGCUUGGUGGAUCACAACUGAAGCAAAUAUGGGUACAAAGUGAAGCCAUUCAGGAUGAGAUGCCAUAGGUAGUCAAAAUUUGCAAGCAUCACAAAGGUAGACAAACUCCCAGUUUAUGCAUGACAGAAUAUCAGAUAUACUUGAAGAUUGAAUAAACAGGGACUUCAGUACAUAUAUAUUCAUGCUUGACACACAUGUGUUAAAUGAUCAUAACAGUUUAAAUAGCACAGUUUUCUAUCACAUGAAGAAAUUUGUAAAUUGAGAAGAUUGUCUCGCUAUAUAUGCCAUGUAUUGAUUGGACCUCUCCUACUAAUGAACUAAGAAAUAGAAUCCUGAAGUUUCCAAGCUUCUAAUCUGUCUUCAAUUAGCCAAGUAAUUAUAACCUGUUCUCCAACAUACUAACCACUUUUAAAACAAUUUCUGACUUCAAAGUGUACAAGGAAUUAUUUUCACUUUCUUCAUCUUUCACUUCCACAAAGGAACAAUUUCCUGCUGAACCUUAUUCUUUACCACUUACAUUGUACUGGCCAUUUUUAAGUUGCAUCUUCAUGAAACUAUAGACGUGUACUCCAAUACAGUAUGAACAUAGAAAUGCAGAAAACGGUGAGUGACAAAAUUAUGACAACAUAUGAAGUUAGUAAAAAAUCAUCACGUAGAGCACAAUUUUUAAUUAUGAGAUAGAAUCAAUCAUUUGAAAGUUAGUGUCGGUAAAUAAAUACUAUCAUUUAUCUAUUUAUUAUUGUACACAGUAUUUCUACUUAUGUUCGUGUAAAAUUCAUAAAAGUAAAAAAAUGUAGUUGAGAGUGUUCAGCUUUCAGAGUGUCCGAGUUAGAUUGAUAGCAAAAGCAUGUGUGAGUUAUGAUCUGAGAGAAAGCCAUGGAUUUUGGUUAAGGAAAAAGCUCUUGCUUUCAAUAAAUCAACACUUAGUUUCUAAACUGAUAGAAAUCAAGAGGAAGGAGUGAAAAAGGGGAGAGAAUCAAAGAAACCUCCUGCCGUGAAACCAUUAACUGAAUGACUUACUGAAAUUUGAUGGUUCAGCCACACUUAACAGUUAGGAGGACUUAUGCACAAAACUCAAUAUCCUAUCAACUUAACAGCUAGAAGGUUGUUUUGAAAGAGGGUCACAGCCAGAGUCUUGGCAGCAAAGUUAAGGUUUUAGGGGUGUUCACAAUCCAAUCCCAGCCACAAAUUAUAAUUUUGCUAAGGUGGCUGCAAUUUAAAACCUUGUCCAAAGCAGUUAAACUGAUAGCUGAGCAUAACUGAAGUGAAUACUAGUAUUACUCAAACACCACGGAACAUCUGACAUAGGUUUGUUCAACAUGGUAACCACAACUAUUUUAAGUGCACAGAGGUCAAUAAUGAAAACCGUGUCAACCAAUCCUGCUAGAAAUACAACAUGCAGUUUUAUAUUAUCCACCUAAAGAUAGAACAAAUAAAACGCAAACCAAUCUGUAGAACAUUUAUGAAAGAUAUUUGAGAUAGAAUCACAAACCUGGAAAAUUUCAACCUUGAAGGAAAAAAGUUCAACGGCUUUCAAGGCCUGGCUAGUAACAUGACUCUCCACUAUCAAUAUAAGACCACUCAAAGUGUCUCUAUUAACAAUCUGUCCCGCAAUGUUCCGAAUGGCAGUAACUUUCACAGAACCCGGUCCGCAGAAAAUUACUAAAAUCUGCAAUCAUCCAGAAACUGAUUUUACUACAAAUGCAAAUUCUCAGUCAUUUUCAGGUGAUCGGUCCCUAAACUUCCUUUUGACAGAGAGAUAGAAAGAUAACUUUUUCUCUGAAUACGUCAUACAUAAUUUAAGUAGUAAAAAACACCAAGACAAAUUCAAUUUACAAAAAAAAAAAAAAAAUUGGUAGUAAACAUGUAAUCACUUUCAGACUUAAACCUCAGGACAGAAAUAACUUCACUAAAUCAAUAAGACCAACUUAACAAAAUGAAUUUCAUCCAAAAUAAAUUUUGCUUCAAAGUCUCAAAAGUCCGGUCAGACAGGGUAAAUCAAAUGUGUCAUGCAGAUGAAAAAAAAAAAAAGUGAUCGAAAACAAAAAAACCCAGGAAAUAUGACCAUUCAGUAAACAUAAGUAGAUUCUUUACACCUGUAAAGUAGUAAAAAACACACUGCCAGUAUAUAAAAAUUGAAUUUUUCCGUAGAUUUCAGGGAAAGACAUUGAAAUUGAGGGAGAAAGAUAAGAGGGGCUGCGUUGGGCGGAGAAGAGAUGAAGAAAAGGAUACCCUUUUGGAAGGGUUGGUGGCGUGAUUGAGGGAGAGGCGGAGACGGUCAGGGUCGGGGGAAUGACCAUGCAUGUGGCGGAAUUGGGAGAGAGAAAGGUCGAUUUCGCUGGAGGGAAUGGAGUAGCCUCUGUCUCUGAGCAUUUCCAAAGUGGUUCUGCGAGACAAGUAGUAUCUGUGACUUUCAACGCUGCCAUCAUCGAUGAACUUACUCAAACACCCUUUCACUUGUUCUGCUUCUUCUUGUUCUUCUCCUUCUCCUCCCACUCUCGCCAAUUCGAACCCGUUCUCAGCUGCCAUCUCUCUCUCACUGUGAAUCACAGCCACUUCUGUUCAAAUUUUUCUUUUUAUUUCACUGCUGAUUGCGAGCAUUAAAUUAAAACUGACAUAUUCAUUUUCAUAUUUCGAUUUUUUGAUGAAUUUAUUUAAUAGAUGAUGAAAAUAUGAAAAUUUAUAAAAAAAAAAAAUUAUACCAGUACCAGUAUAACUUUUAAAUGUACAGAGUACUUGUAGAAAGUCCAUAUAUUAUGUAUUCAUUUUUAUUUAAUCUCGGAGAAGAUCCAAUACAACAUUUUUCUCUUAAAUAAAUUGUCAUAAAUUAUUCAAUCACAAUUUCAAUAUAAAAAAUUUUUAAUUUUUCUUGUUGUAUUGAUGUGAAAUUUUAGUGUUUGUAUAUUUUAAAAACAUACAUAUUAUAAAUGCAAUAUUUCUGUCAAUAAACUUUAAUGGUUACAAUAGUAAUAAUAAUAAGUAAUACUAUUAUAUUCCUUUUUUUAAUAUAACGUGGUUAGGUCAUAGAUAAAUUUAUAUAAAAAAAGUGAGUAUGUCAAUCCACUGAAUUGAACAAUUUAUGAGAAUAAUUGUAUAAUUAAUUAAAUAAGAAUGUUAUCAUAUUAAUAUGUAAUAUAUAUAUAUAUAUAUAUGGGGUUUGCUAACUUGCGUACGCCUGUUUUUCAAUUGGUACAUUUUAGCAAUGUGUACCGGGUUUCAGUAGACAAAAAUACCCUUAUAUCAUGAAUUCUAAGUUUUAAGGUUAAGGGUAUUUUAAUAAUAUUCAUUCUCAAAAUUAAAAAAAUAAAAAAAGAAACAGGCAAACCCUUACCCACCUCUAUCAUUCCUCUCAACUCUUUCUCUUUCAUCUCUUUCACUUCAACCUUUUCUUUUAUCUGUCAUUCUUACUCUAGCUCCAAUUGAAAAAAAAUCAGAAAUACUUGUCUUAUUUUAAUAAUUUUCAUUCUCAAAACUAAAAAAAGAAACCUCAAACCCUUACCCACCUCCUUCAUCUCUCUCAAUCCUUUCUCUUUCAUCUCUCUCACUCAAACAUUUUCUCUGUCAUCUCUGCACUAGCCCCAACUAAAAAAACACUCAUUAUUAAAUAAAAUGGUUAGAGAAAAAAAUACUUACAUAAAUAAAAAAAUUAAAGCACCUAAUUUUUUCUUUAUAUAAUUUUAAAUAAAAUUUCAAGAUUUAGAAUUUUUAUUGUUUGAUUUUAUCGUUGAGAAAUUUAUUGUAUUUUGAUUUGUUUUUUCUUUAGUAAAGGAAAACAAGUUAAUGAAUUUCUACCAAAAAAAUUUAAAUGGUCAGGGAGAAAUGUUAUGUAGUAGUCUUAGAAUGUAAAGGAAGGAUGCUCAUAAGUCUUGGUGUAAACUUUUUUCGGAAGGUGAAUAUGUCAAUGACUCAACUCUUUACAAAAGUAAAUUGUUUAAUAAUGAGUGUUUUUUUAGUUGGGACUAGUGCAGAGAUAACAGAGAAAAUGUUUGAGUGAGAGAGAUGAAAGAGAAAGGGUUGAGAGGAAUGAAAGAGGUGAGUAAGGGUUUGAGGUUUCUUUUUUUAAUUUUGAGAAUGAAAAAUAUUAAAAUAAGGCAAAUAUUUCUGAUUUUUAUUCAAUUAAGCCUAAAAUAAGGAUGAGAGAGAAAAGAAAAAGGUUGGAGUGAAAGAGAUGAAAGAGAAAGGGUUGAGAGGAAUGAGAGAGGUGAGUACGAUUUUGGCGGUUUCUUUUUUUAUUUUAUUAAUUUUGAGAAUGAAAAUUAUUAAAAUACCCUUAACCUUAAAACUUAGAAUUCAUGAUAUAUAAGGAUAUUUUUGUCUACUGAAACCCGGUACAUAUUGUUAAAAUGUACCAACUGAAAAACAGGCGUACGCAAGUUAGGAAACCCCUGUAUAUAUAUAUAUAUUAGAUACAAUACUAGGAUAUCCAAAAAUGAAAAUAUCUUGAAGUUGUUAAUACUUUAUAAAGGACCUGCGAAAGAAAGAUAAAUUUCUAAGAAGUUAUUUAUCAAUAAUAUUCACAAGUAUUAAUUAAUUGAUUUAAUGAUCAAGAUAUUCUGUAAGUACGUGAAGUAGUUGAAAAUGGUAAAAAAAUUAUAUUGGACGUGUCAUUCCGUGAAAGAUGAUAAAUGGAAAUUAUAAGAUUGUAUAAGUUUUAGCAAAAGCCAAGAUAAAUGGUAUAAUUACUUUAGAUUUUAUCUAUAUAUGGAAAAACAAUUUUGUACUGGUACCCUUAAAAUGGUCAAAUAAAAUUAUGAUUUAUUUUACAAGUUUUUGACCUAUCUUUACAAUGAUUUUUUUUUUCAUUCAUAUAUAUUAUUUAUUUUCUAUUUGGAUUUACAUUUUCAAAGGACUAGAGUUUUUAUUUCAAAAACUCCUAAAAUUUGUUUACAUAAAUUGAUAUGCUAAAUUGAAAGUUAUUGAAUUAAAUUUUUUACUGUGAGAAUCAUUUGGAUUUUAACAUAAAGUUUGUAGACAAUCUACUUCUUCUGAGAUUGGAUCCAAGUGAAAGAUUUAUGAUGAAAAAUAAAAAUGUCAUUGUUGAUAUAGCAAAGAAAAGAGAUUAAAUGGAAAAGAAAUAAUGUUUUAGCUCUUUAUGUGACCUAGUUCAACUAUAGUUUUGUAUGAGAUUACAAGAAAAGAAAUCAGUGAUGCAAAUUUUUCUAAAUUUCACAUCGGAUAAAGAUAUUUAGACAACAUUUUUUUGACAAUAUUUGAACAUUGAUUACGUGUCAAUCUGUGAUUGGUCAAAAAUUACUCCACAAUCAAUAAUAAUAAUCAUAAAUAUUAUUGUGGAGUAAUUUUUAUCGAUGACAGAUUGACACGUAAUCAAUGUUCAAAUCUUAUCAAAAAAUGUUGUCUAAAUAUCGUUAUCUUUUUACAUCUAAGGUUACUAAGAAAACUAAAGAACAAAAUUGAAAGAGUGUUAAAACUCAUAUUUAUUGAGAUGAUCAUGUAUUUUGAAUGAGGUUCAGCAUAGUUAAAAUUAUAUAUAAUGAAAAUAUAUAUAUAAUUUUAAAGAUUUGAAUGUAGUUAGUUGAUAUGUUAAUCAUUGAGAGUCAAAUGUUAAGUUUCUAAUAUGGAUAUUAUGGAUAUAAUAUUGUUAUAUAUAUAUAUAUAUAUAUAUAUAUAUAUAUAUAUAUAUAUAUAUAUAUAUAUAUAUUAAACAUUAUGGAAGCAUGAUUAUAUAAUUAAAUGAAUGGUUUGUUUCUAAGAUAAUGUGUAAUAUAUAGUCUUUUAAAUAUAAAUUCAUUAACUUUUCUUUUAAAAGAAAAGAAAUGAAUAGACUAAUACAUUGUGCACACGUGUGCAACUCAUAAAAUAUAAUUAUUUUAUAAGUAGACAAUAAUAUUACACAUAAAAUAUACAGAGUAAACUAGGAUUGAUUUAAAUUUUAUAAAUUUUAAAUAAAAAGAAAAUAUAUAAAAAAUCUAUUUAAUAUUUAUAUAAUUUUUACAAGUCAUGAAAUUUACAUUUAAAAAUAAGGUUUUAAUAGUCAAAUCAUAUACAAAUAAUCACAUAUACGAUCUUUGAAAGACUAGUGUAUUGACUAAUACCUCAGGUUCUAUAUGUGUCAUUGCUCAAUUGUUUAUGUCUUUCACAAGCUAUAGUUAUAAAGUGUAUAGGGUUACGUCCUUCUCCACUAAGCAUGAUAAAAUAAAUUGUAUACUUCAUAAGUCUGACUACUAUCGACACUCUAUAUAUGAACCUCUCUCGACUAUCAGAACUAGUUGUUUUUAUUUACAUUAUUUCAAUAACUAUUAGUCAGAAUAAUCUCAUUUUAGUUAAUAUUUCCACAUAAGGAAUCACUACUUAUUAAUCCCAUUCAAUUCAUAUCACACUAAAACAAAAUAAUACAACUAUUUUUUCAUUUCGCAUCAUUCAUAUUAAACUAAAAUAUGUCAUUACAUCAAUGCACAUAUAUCAUUCUUUUAUACAAAAAUCUUUGAACAAACUCUUCACAAUUCAAACACAUUUCAAAAAACAAGAAAUUUAACAGAUUCGCUUAACGAGUCUAGACUCACUUAACGAGUAACCUUUGGAAAGAUACUCGCACAAGGACUAAAUGACUUGUCCAACAGUCAAGCAUCCCUUGCCUCUCAACCAAAACCAAAUCUAACACUUGCUCAACGACCUACGGUUUCACUCAACGAGAAAAUAAUGAGACUAAAUUUUUUAAAAAAAUUGCCCAAGAAACCUGAAAUGCCAAGCUUUCUUAAUUGUAAAUUAUGCAUUCUCAUUCAUCGAGCCAUCUACUCAUCCAAGUUCGUGCCUGCUGGCAGUGUACCAUGGCCCAUUUGUCAAGGUUUUCACUCAAUUCCAAUUGAAACAUGCAUAAUUUUACUUAUCAAAUAGCUUUAGACAAAUAAAAUCAUAUAUCACAGAAUCAUUUCACAAAGAUCAGCAGGGCAUACAACUCAACUCACAUAUCAAAUCAUCAAUUCCAAUAAGGCAAUGCAUACAUGAAAUUUAUCAUUCUAAACAUAUUUCAAAUCCAAUUCAUUACAAUUCAAGAUCACAAAAUUCACAAUUCAUUAGUACAAUUAAAUUUUAAAAUAAACUUUCCUUGUUGUAGAAAGCCUUAUUAUUUUCUUAUAGAUGAUCCUAAGCUUUAUAUUUCACAAAUGUUUUAAAAACAUUAUAAAAAGAGAUUAGGUUAAUGAUCCAAGCACAUCCUUAGAAUCAAAACAGAGCAAGAUUCCUAAAGAAUGUCCUAAGAUCACAUGCAAGACCGAGAAUACUACAUGCUUAUAGAUCAAACCUUUACUCAAAAAUAGGACAUAAAUUGAAUUUACUUUAUUUGAUAAAUUGAUCGGUUAGACGUAUUACCCUUGAUGCCAAAAGCACUAAGGUAUGCUCUGAUCUUGAAAGAGAUUAAAGAUGGGGUUUGAAAUGUAGAGAGAAGAUAAAAAAAGUAAUAAUGGAAAGGGUUCUAAAGAGACAAAGUCUUUUAUAAAAUGAAUUUAUUUCUAUUAGAAUACUAAUUAUAGAUAACCUCAUUUUAUAAAACAUAUUUUUUAGUCUUAACCAUUUUCUAGGUUCUUACAUAUUGUAGAAAACGCGCACCAUAAUGAUUAGAGUGUAAGACAAAACUAAGAUUGGGAUGAAUUGGUUUAAGUUAAAAAUCGUUUUACUUUGAAUAGAUUUUUGCUUUUAAAAAUUUAUGUGAUAAAACUGAAACUCUUGUGGUUCAAAAGCAAAUAAGUAAAGUAGAUUAGGGAGAAGAAGAACUACACAUGUAAUUUUUAUACUAGUUUGAAUCAAAAGAUUCUACAUCCACUAAAUGUAAAAGCACUUUACAAAAUGAUAACACGAAUAAGAUUAGAAAACACCUUUUUUAACAUAUAAUAAAUGACCAACACCUUCCUUUGACACAUAAAAGAAUGAACAACUUGAUUUUGCUUGGUAGAAAAACACCUCCAACUUAGACACACUAAGUAAUAGCUUUCCCUUCUUUAAACAUCGAAACCACAAACUUUCUUAAACACUCAAAGUAUUUUAGACAAUUCUAUGUACUCUCUGCAAAAUUUUAAGUUGUUUUUUUAUGAAAUAUGAAACACAAUAUUUAUAACCCAAGGUUCGAACUAGGUUAGAAGCUGAACAGACAGCUCCCAACUGUUAGUGCAACUGUUAGUGAUAAUCGAUAAUCCCAAGUGAUAGUCGAUGAUCUCAAGUGAUAAUCGAUUAUCUUAGGUUAAAAUAGUUUCAUUUUGGGGAUAAUCGAUUAUCCCAAGUGAUAAUCGAUUAUCUGUAAACCUUGGUAAUUCAUGCUUUCGGUGAUAAUGAAUUAUCCUAAGUGAUAAUCGAUUAUUGCUGAAUCAAAGUAUUUUCUUAGUUUUAUUGUGAUAAUCGAUUAUCCUAAGUGAUAAUUGAUUAUUACCGUAAGAAUUCUAUAAGUAGAUAUAAGACUUCUUUAAGUUAUAAUUGAAAAUCUAAAGCUAUUACAAUGAAAUCUACAACAAAAAGCUUUAACAUAAAUUCUUCUAGUCAUGUAAUUUGUUCUUCAAGUCUUUGAGUACAUCAUCAUCAAAGUCUUUUCAGGCUUCAAUCCAUCUUAUUGGUAACAAUAUUUAUAUUGAGAAUUUAUAAUUGAUGAAUCAUUUAAGAUUAAUAGAUGUUACUAAACAUAAAUGAGAAAUGAAUUUGUGUUUUUGUUUUAUUAUGAAAGAUCAUUGGUGUGCAAUUAUAAUUGAAUCCAAAUACCAAGAAGUUAUCCUCUAUAUACCAAAACACUUGUGUAAACCAUCAACUUCUUCAUAAUCAAAAGUUUCUUCUUGAGCCAGAUGAGCUUGUGAUAGCCUUUUUAGUAUGCUUUUGGCACUUUCUCCAUCCCAACGGUCCUAUGCAAAGUGACUAAACCUUUGACAGUUGUAACACUUGACUUUCUUCUUGUCAAACUUCUUUUCUUUCCCUUCACCAGAACCUUGAUUUGUCCUUUGUUCUUGGUAGUAUCCUCUGACUCAUACUUCUUUUUUGAUUUGGAGCCUUUCUUGAAGUUUUUCUUUGAUUUUCCUUCCGUUUGAAGAGUAGUUUGUUCUUGAACAUGUCUCUGUUCAUUUAUGCAGAUUGUAACUAUUCACUUUCCACGGUAUUAAGAUCUCUAGUCACCUAAAUUACAACCACCACAUGAUUAAGGUAAAGUUCUUAAAAUUUCAUCUACAACUUGUUAAUCUAUGAUGUUAUCCUUGCAAGCCCCAAUGGCACUCACAUGUUUUUAUAUUUUAUCAAAAUAUUGUAAUAUAGUUUCAUUUUUAUUCAUAGUCAUAAACUUAAAUUGCCUACAUAAUGUUUUAAGUUUUACCUUUAUGUUUUUAUCACCAUCACCAUAGGUUUUUAUCAAAAUCUCCCAAGCCUCUUUGGUAAAAGCAAAUUUCGAGAUUUUAUUGAAAAUUUUUAUACUGACACAUUGAUAAAUAAUGAAUCUUGUUUUGCUAUAUCUUUAGUUAUGUUGAAUUUCUCUUCUCUUCAUAAAUGAAUUUUUCAAUCUCAAUAAUAACUACUUUAGCUACAUUCUAAAACGCAAAAAUGAUUAUCAUCUUAACGUGUCAAUUAUCAAACAAUUUACCAUCAAAUAUACGCAAUCUUCCUUGUAUUAUUCCGAAGAAUCCUACCAUGCUUUCUUAACCAACCUAGGAUGUCUUGCUAUUUUCUUGUUCACAAUAAGAUAAUGCCCAUUUCAAUCUUGAAACACACUCUUACUUUUUUACACACAACUCUUGGUCUUAUUUACAUAGGUAUCACAAGCUUUAUAACAACACUAAUAUACAGUACUCAUGUCUCAAAGUUUGCCCAACUUUGAAUUAUUUGUAACUCUAAUACCAUUUAAAAACAUAUACUAACCAGAAAAUAAAAGAAUGAAUGUCACUCAUCUCAUUAAUAUGAAAGCUACGUUAUUACAAUUUAUAUUCACCAGAAAUAUCAAAGCAACUAUUACACAUAUAAAGAGAAAUAACGGUAAUAUUUGAAUUUUGCUUAAUUCCUUACAAUUUUUCUGUAAACUGGUUUAAUAAUUUUUUUUGUUCAGUGUACUUUUAUAUAUAAGAACAAGAAAUAAUUCUAAGAAAAUAUUUUUAAACUUUAAAUAAUAGAUUUGAAAUACUAAAAUCAUAUUUUUAAUAUUUAAAGCACUAAAGUUAUAUAUUUUAUUGUAAAAGCUAAAACCGAAUUGAUCUCAAACUUCAAGAUUAAAAACAUAACUAAAAUUAUUUUUUUUCUUUGUUUCUGUCAUUAAUUAACUUUAAUUCACUGUAUAAAUUCUAAAAAUCAAAGUCUUGAUUAGUAUACUUUUUCUUAAAAUCCAAACUUUAAGGCCUAUUAUAUACAUGUAUUUGGAAAAUCUUGUAAAUAUGUGUAUAAAAAUUAGAAUAUCUCAAAACACUUUAUUUUAUAUAUAUAUAUAUAUAUAUAUAUAUAUAUAUAUAUAUAUAUAUAUAUAUAUAUUACUGACAAAAAAAGUCUAGUGAUUAAGAAAUUAAAAUUUCUUUUAAGAAAAUCAUAUUAAAAUUAUAGAAAUAUAUUUUAAAGAUCUAUAACAUAAUGAGAUUUCUAUUUAGUGUACAUAAAUUGUAUUUUUAUUUUAGCUUUAACAUUUUUUAAAUCACAAUAUAAAAUAUAUAGUAAAGAAGAUCAAUAGAAAAAACUAGCUAAUUCUUUUUCGUCUAAGUUAAAAAAAAAACCAUGUUAUUGUAUACACAGUUAAUUUAUAAAUACUAAAAAUGUUCAACUUUAUGAUUUAUUUUUUUUAUUACAUAUUUUAAUACAUGUAUAAUAAAUACUAAUUUAAUUAUCUUGUUUUUACAUAAUAAUAAUAAUAAAUAAAAUAAAAUAAAAUAAUAAAUAAUAAAAUAUAUCUAAAAAGAAAAUAAAACAUAAUAACAAAAAUUCGAAAAGUGGCACUCAUAUUUCCACAUUCUUCAAAAUUUUAUUUUACUUUUGAUAAUUUUUACCGACUUAAACUUAUCAUUUGAAAAAGAAAGUCUUAGCAUUUGAGAAAUUACAGCACAUGCUUGCACAGUGAUGAACAGUAAGAACUUCUAACCUACAAGAUUUUCUAGAGAUUUAGUAAAUGCCAAAAAGUCCUAGAAGUUUGCAACUCUUCCACUUUCAUAACGGAGAGACUAUUAGAGUCACCGGGCUGUUAUCACUUCAUACUUAUAAUUGGGAAUCACCUGCUCCAUUGACUUUCAUUCUAAAAGAAAAGAUGAGUGAGAUUAACAAAAUUACCAUGGAGUAUCUAGUCAGUAAAUAGUUGUCAUUCACAUGUUGGGACUCCCAAAGAGAGGCUGGCUUUGAAUUCCUCUGCACCUCUUUGGGACCACCACUUCAUGAUUUCCGGGCCCAGUCCAUAAGCCCAAGCCCAGUAAGAAAAGCUCAUUCUUUUGUAUUUUAAAAGUAAAACUUUUGAAUUUAAGAAAAAACUCUUCCAAGUUCUAGAGUAAUAAAAAAGUUUCACAUUUUAUGUAUACUUCUUAAGAGGGAAUUAGAAUUUUCAAUGGUUAACUAAAUGAACAAACUUUGCUGUUAUUUUCUACCAACAUCUUCUUUAUACAUUUGCAUUCAUUAAUUUAAUUGCGUUGUUGGAAAGUUUGUUUUUUUUAAGAAAAGGGUGAGUAACAAGUUAACUUUUUUUUUUCACCAAUAGGGUGAGAGUAAAGAAUAACAAUCCAGUAAUCAACCAAAGGAAUCCAAGAAGUAUGACAAAGUAGAAGAAAAUACAUUCAGAGGAAUAUUUCAAAAGAUGAAUCCAAAAGCUUUACUUUUCAUUUAACAGUUAAUUUUGUAUUAAAUAAAUUAUUAUACCUUAUUUUUUUAUUCUCUAAAAUAUUUUGUUUAACUUUUACCAAUCCUUGUCAUAGUGUGUUAUUGUCUUCUCAUUUCUUACUCAAAUAUCCUUUGACAAGAGUGAUUUUUACUUCAAAUUAAAUAUUUUUAAAUUUUUUUCCUUAAUCUUUUUUCUCCAUUUCUAAGUAAAAUUUUAUGUUUUAAGAAAGUCAUAUGGUUUAAAAUAAUUUUGGAUCAAAAUAUAAUAUUUUUUAUUACAGUACAAGUUGUAUUUGGGAAAUAUUUAUUUAUUGCAAAAUUUAUUAUAGUAUAAUUUAUAAACUUAAAUUCUCAUAAAGUUCAACUUGCCUCCUUCAUAAUUAGAAACAUAAAGAAUCUUUUCUUCUGCACACUUUUUACCAAGAGCUGGUGUUUCUCUUUUUAUAACGUGACAGACUUAUACUUGUGUCAGUACAUUUUCUUUACUCUAGGGAAAACAUACUUAACUUUUGAUCAUGAAAUCAUAUGUAGGUGAAUUUUCACCAACAUUAGUUAAUCUUAAAUAUGUGAACAAUGUCAAUCUCAGUCUCACAUGUGAACAUUGAUUGAUUUACACAUCAUUAGGAUGAUCUUGUAGAGAACUUCAUGCACAUGAUAUGUGAAAAGGACAAUGUCUCAUACUAUUUAAGAUAUGCUUAAACAUUGAUGCUAUGUAGCACUGUUAUGAAAGGGUGAAGUAAAAAUGUCUAGUUAUAGUUUCAAAUAAGAUAUUUCAAUAAGCUAACCUAAUGUGCAGUAAAUUAUUUUCUCAGAUUCAUCAAAGACAGAAGAUCAUAGUUCCAAACACAAACAAUGCCGUGAACAUGAAGAUUGUACUAUUGCAGCAAGAUGGGGUCAGUCUUAUGAAAUCAACCCUGUGGUAAAAUAACCUAUUUUAGCUGAAACUGACAAAGCACAAACACUGAGAGACAACUCCAAAACCAGUAACCCCCACAUAUUGCACCUUCUGUUUCUCUCUGCUGAAAACCAUGGUGCACAAUUGUGGUGGUUCAAGACCUUGUAGUUUGUUCUGCCAUUUUCACUGUUGAGAACAGUGACUUUCUACUUGCUAGCUUCCUUGAUAAUUGCAUAUUAUGCCAUAAAAAAACAAAAACAAGCUUCGCAGCUUCAUAGAUAAGACACUUGAAAUUAGAAAUUAAGCAUGUCAGUUUUAUUUUCUGCUGUUCAGAGGGUAAUGAACACUAAUAAAGCAAAAGUCUGACAUAAAACAAAUAACAACUGGGAGUACUGACUAAAAACAAAGGACGAAACUGAAAGGUGCAUUCUUGGUGGUUGUAAAUUCCACCCCAAUGAAUGAACAAACACAGCACCAACAUGAUCAUCCAGGGUAUGCUUGUGAUCAAUAAUUGCUUUUCUGUGUAGAACAUAUGCUGAGAGAGUUCAACAUCUUAAAAUUGAUUUUGAUACAAAAAUAGUCUCGGUGAAUCUGGUAUACCUGAUUCACAGGACUAAUUUCCAUCAAUCAUGUACAGCAACCUGGGCAUCUAAUCAAGCCAUUCUCAUUGCAAUCAGGACACCUUCUCAACCCUCCUUCUUGAUGUUCAAACACCUUCCUGCUACCAUUGCAAUUGGGGCAUGGCACAAACCUGGCAUCCCCACAGUUGUCACAGACAAAGCCAGGCUCCUGGGUGGGGAAUCCUUCCAACAGCCUUGCUAAUUCUCCAGACUCAUUCAUAUGCUUCAACUCAUCAGCAUUUCCCACAUACUUCCCUCUGAUAAAGACCUGAGGCAAGGUCACUGCCUUGCCACCAAGAGCAUCCUGCAACUCCUUCCUAUAGGAUGAAUCCAUUGAGAUAUCCCUCUCAUCAACCGCAACUCUGAAGCCCCUCAGAAUCAUCCUAACUGAACAACAAUCCUCAUAGGUCUUCCGGAUCCCUCUCAAACUAGUACAAUAAAGCACUAUUCUGUCCUCAGUGCCAGGCAAACGGCACAAAUUAUUCUUACAAAAUGAAAAAGAAGGAGAAAAUACCAAAGGGCUAGACCCCAUUGACCUGAUAUCUCUAGGUAAAGUGUUUCUACCAAGUUGCCUCGAUGAUAAUGCUCUCCUGUAACUCCAAGCCACACUUGGAUCCAACUUAGCAAGCAAUGCUUCCUCAGAUAAAUGCUGCCAAAGUGGCUUCUUGGUUGAUGCUGGAGAAGAAGAGUUUUCUGUUACUGUUUGUGAAGUUUUCAGUGACUCAAAGGAAUCAAGCAGUUUCUUCCUUGCAGACCCAUCGAAUGCUGUGUACCUGCAUGAACUUGGCUUGUCUAAAGUAGAAAUGUUAGGAGGCUUCACAAUUCCUUCUUGUGGCUCCUCUUCUUCUUCAUCCAAGCCAUCCAUGAGUUCCCAAGUGUUGAUGACCGAGUCUGGGGAGAGUGAGUGUUCUAUCUCAGUUUGGUUUGAGGUUUUGGUGAGGUGGGGUUGGUUUUUUGGGGUCAAGUUGGGGUCUUUUUGGUCAAUGAGAAGAAGGGAGCCAUAGGUGGUGGAGGUGAGGGAGACAAGGUGGUGUGUGUCGCCCUUUUUGAUGGGAGGGUGAUGGACAAGAGGCAUUGGGAGAGAAAGGGCUCUUCUUCUAACCGGGGGUGAAGAAUUGUUGGAGUUAAAGUGUGAAGCAGAAGAGGAAGAGAAAGAAGAAGAAGCAAGAGAAGCAGAAGGAGAGGGAUCCUGAUCUGGAUAACUGUUGGCCACUAUGGUGAUGGUUCUUGAGGCUGAGCAACCCAUGAUUUCACAACGAACAAGGAGAUGUGCUUUCCUUGCCUUUGCUUAAUUGGUUUGCUUCCUCUCUCAAAAAGACACUUUCUAUUUUUUCCUUCCCUCCUCACUCCAAACUUUUUGGCUUUGUAAAAGUCUUCUUUGGAAGACCUUUGUGAAAUAAUGAUUGUCCUAUAGUAGAGAUAGAGAGAUAGAGAGAGAGAGAGAGAGUUUUGGAGGCUUAGAUUAGAUGCAAAGGAAGUACAUAAGGGAGGUAUACUGUGGUGAGAGGUGGUAGAACGGUGCUUUCAAGUGGGUUGGAGGGGGGAAGUUGACGAGCAUCAAUGCUGUGUACAAUUGGGAGCAUCACAUAGCAGUUAGGACCAUUGUUUUUAAAUUACUGAUAAAGAAUUGGUGAGGGACCAUUUGUUUUAAGGGCAUAACAAAGUGGUAAAAAAAGGGACACUGAUCAUUGGAAGAUUCCUGUGUAAUUUUGUAGGGUAUACAUUUUCGUAUCAAAGUACUAAAGUUAAACUCUUUUUAGUAUUGUAAUCUAUUUUCACAUGUAAAAACAGAGUAUUUGACUUUCCAGAACAUGGUUAAAUUGGAUCUCCCAACCUCCCUCCCAGCUCCUGUUUUUCAAAUGUAACAUUAAAUCUAGCAACAUCUUUUUGUUCAGUUUGAAAGUUUUAAUAAUGUGCAUCGUUAUUAGCAACUACCCAGCAUUUAAAUUCCUUUGAAUUGUUGCCAGAAAAAAAGAGGAAAAAGCGAAACCGACAAAUGAAUGGAACUUGAAUCAUUGGAUUUUAGUAAAGAUUGGUUUCGCCUAGUUAAUAAUUAAAAAAAAAAACACUGGUUCUUGCUAAAGUUGUAUGUUUCUUAGGAGGAAAUAGACAAAUAUAAUAAAUAACCAGUGAUGUAGUCUAAAAGAAAGAAAAACUACAUUACUGUUAAGUGUAAUCACAAAUCUCUUGUACCUUUUGAUAUUGGGUAUACUUCGCUUGUUUCAACAUAUGAAUACAGUAAAAUCAUGCUCAGGUCCCAUGUGAAGUGCUAACAUUUUUCUUAAUUUAAUGCAUGAAGGAGUCACUAUCAAGUGAAGAGAAUCAUAAAAUAUUCACCGGUGCUUAAAUAAACAAGCUGUAUAUUAUAUUCAUUAGCAGUGAUUUUCAUAGGUAGAGAAAAUUGAUUUGGUUGGACACAUCUAACUUCUGCUUCUGAAAACAAAGAAAAAAAAAAUCAAAUUAUAGAACUGAUGAUAGUGCUGGCAGUUAGAAGCUUCACCUUCAAAACCAAUACAAGCAACCCAAAGGUUGGGCCAUUUAAAAGCUUAGGACCAAGGAUUUCAUAAUCAGUCUUUUCCUUUUCAACUUGAAGUUAAUUUUUAAUGAAUUUCAAGUUUUAAAACCAGGGAUGCUCAAUCUUGUUUACUUUUUAUAUAUGAUAGGAAGGUUGGUCAUGUUUGAUGACAUUGCUAAAGUGGAAUAUGGACUAAAAUAAAUGAAUGAGGAGGGGAUCAUACAUCUUUUAUAUGGAUAUAUGAAAAUGCAUCACCAAAAAGAGAAAGAAGGGAGAUGAAACAAUGAUGUUGAUUUCUUCGGUAGCUAUAAGGGGGAGAAAAUAGUUGAAUGGUGAUUAAUACACAAUCAGAAGAUGCAUGUCACUUAUUUUCUGAUACAAAAAAGGUGUGAAGGCAAUAAUGAGAAAAAAAGAAGAAAUAUUUUCUACUUAUUUUCAUUUUCCUGGGAAGGUUUACCUUGUUGAGUGGUGGCAGCUAUUAAUGUGUCAAAGAAUAGCUAAAUUCGAUGAUAGAUAAAUGAGAUAAAGGGAUAAGAUGUAACUGAGCCAGAUGUCAUAAAUAGUCAUAACUACCAGUCAAAGUCCUUCUGCUUACACUUCUCAUCCAAUUAAUAGUGAAUGAUAAUAGUAUUCAUUAGCAUGUAGGUUCCUUAUUAUAAUCAUCAACCAUUAACAUCAUCAAUCACAUGCCUUGUUAAAGGAUUAUUGGCUAGUUAAUAUCUAAAUUGAUGUUGUUAUAAGUAUUAACUGAUAAAAAAUAGUUAGUUAAAAUAUAUGUUGCUACCCUUUUUCUAGACAGAUCUAAAACGCUUGUUAGCCAUAGAUAUUGUGUCACAAAGUGUAGAGGUACACCUUGUGAAAAAUGAAAGUUAAAUUGUGAUAGAACAUACAUCAGUGUUUAAAGUAACAGGAAAUCCUUUGCACAAAGCAAAUGCUUUUAGGCUAAUGACAAAGUUGGUACCUGGCGUGGUAAGAAAUGACAGAAGCAAACUGAAAAAAUUUGAAGGAAAUUGGCAUUAUUUCAACCUCAAAAUAGAUUGAAACAGACAUUUCAUAAUUAAGGACCACAUGGUAGCCAACCGGGGCAGGUGACACCGAGACCACAGGCCACAACUUCAUUGUUCCCAUGCGGCUCUUAGUUGCUAAAGUAGCUGUCUCAUCUACUUUGUUGCUUUACUCAACCCUUUUCAAAUUUCGAAAGAAAGGUUCUAAAGUUACUACCUUCUUUGUAUGGUCUAGAAAAUGUUCAGCAUGUGUUAUUUGCCUGGUUAUGUUAGUUGUCAUCUGUAGUAGCUUUCAGAUCACUAGUAAACUUGGAAAACAAAAGGGGGGACAGAGAAAAUGUCUUUAGACUAGUAUCUAUCUCUCCAUUGUAUUUCAUCUCAUAGACAUUAAUACAAACCUUGCUGAAAUUGAAGAUUGAUUUUUCUGGUACACUAGCAGAACUUCUGUAAGCUAAAAUAAAGUAGUGCUAUUCUGCAAAGAUAAAUUGCUGGUACUCAUGAGCUAUUUUGGGAAAUUAGCAAACCUCAAUAGCAUUCCUAUUACAUAGUAACACAACUAAAUCCGUUAGGCAUUCAGGAUAUGUCAUGACAUUGAUGAACCUGAGCAGACAUGGCAGAGUUCUUUCAUAGAUUCCAAACAAUCUGGUAAAAUUAAUAACUUUGACAGAGCAUGAGUUUUCAAUGAGCCAAUCUGGUAGAGCUAUUAAUUUUUACAGCCCUUAAAUUGAUGUUUGGACGACUACUCAAGAUUGUCAAGGUAUUCUGCUAAGAGUUAAAUUUGGUACAGUUCUUGACAUGCAGUCUUUGAAUUGAAAAGGGAUCUUAAUUGGUGCAUGCUGUCAGACUGAAGGACCAGAUUAUUACAAUACACAGUAACAGAAUAUUGAAAUGAAUUUCCUACUCCUCCAUACACAUUUUAGAAGAGUUUAGCUUGAUGACAAAAUGUGAGUGCAUAAUUUACUGACAUUUCUAAUCCUCCAAUCUUCACAAUCAAUACAGAAGUAAGUAAUUUUAUCUCGCAUUCCAUUUGAAUAUGGAAAAGGGUAGUAAUAUUUUGAAAUCCUCAAAUACAUUGCACCCCUUUUACUUUUUUACCUUUUGUCCUUAGUUUUUUCUGCUUUAUUGCAGUUUUCUUUAUGAUACAGCAAAAUUGCAUAUAGUCUUAGAGAUUAUACUCCAUUUGUACAGUGUAAAAAAACUGACUACUGCGUCCUAUCUAUCCUUUCCCUUCUUGACAUAUUAGGAGAUUUGGCAGCCAUUGUAGGAGAAAAUAAAUAAAAUUCUUUGAAAUAAUUAGUUACCUUCAAGUUUGGUCCUGUUGUGCUGUAUUUAAUAUUAUCUAGGGUAUACAAACAUGGCCUAACUAAUGAAAUGUGUAUCAAAUUACCAACAACAAAAGUCAGGAGAAUGAACCACUUUAUACAUUUUGGUGACAAGCACAUCACAUGGUAAAGUGGGUUGAACCACACCAAAGAAACAGAAAGAGCAAUGACAAAGGCUCAAGCUGCUUUCGAUUUCAUGUGGGCUUAUAUGCCUGAAAAGUUGAACCUCCUUUUCCUCCCCAAAUUUUCAAAAUACCUUUACCACAUUCAUUAGUUUCAAUAUCAGAAAAAUUACAAUUGCUUCUUGCACGUCUCAUCAGUACUCUUGACUUUCUACGUCACAAUGUUUGAGGAUUUGUUCUGCUUUCUAAAUAACAAGUACAAAGCCAAUCAAAGAAGAGAUUAUUAUUAUUAAUUAUUAUUAUUAUUGAACAACAUCCAGCUUAUAACAUUUUUCUUCAUUUUCUUCAUGCAGUGUUAACUUUCUUUCUCUUCUCCAUUUUUUCUCAUUGUUUGAAACAGAGUUGUGCUCUUAUCCUCCUAGACAGAGCCAAACAACCUCACGGCGGAGCAAACAUCAGAAAUACAUAAAUAAAAGAUUAAACGAAAACAACGGUGAAAUCUACACCUAAAAGAAAAGCAAAUAAGAAGGUGGAAUAAUAGGGUUAUUGCAUAACAGACCACGAAUACGUGACUCGGUAUAAUUCAAGUGUUGAUAAUAGGGUUAUUUAAUAACGAAUUUGAAAAAAAAAAUAUACAAAGAAUUAUUUUUUUUUUAAUUUAAUUUGAAACAAAGUAAAUUGUUUUUAAUAUUUUCUUGUCAUUUUUUUAAACCUUUCUUAGAUUACAAAUUUAUUUUAGUAACAAAUUUGUAAUUACAAGUGAAAUCAUACAUAAAAAGAUUGCUAUAAAACAAUGUUAUGUUUCUGAUUUUAUUACAAACUCAAUUCAGUUUUCUAAUUUUUUGAUUUAGUUAAAUUUAUUAUUUUUAUUAUUUUUUAGUUCAAUUUUCUCUUCUUCUUCCAAAACCCUAAGACACCAAAGGCUCUCCAUUCUUCCAUCUCACGUAAGAACAGCCACUGCAACAUGGCCGAGGUCAUCGGCAAUCUCCAUUCUUCCAAACCCUAAGACACCUUAUCUCCCCAAAUCGAGAAACUUUUCUCACUGCACAUAAGCCAAAUGUGAAAUGGCUUUUGGGUAUUGUUCUGGUUGGUUAUUUUUCGUGGAUGCAGUGGAGCUGGAGAAAAGUAAUGAUGAGGAAGGGGGAAACAGUGAUGUAGAGAAGAUGAAAUUAGACUGGUGUGGUGCUGUUAAAAUGAAAUUAGACUUUCACUAAUCUUUGAAGACCCCUUACCAGUGGUGGCGAGGACAGCAAUUACAGAAAAUGUUUGAUUUAGUUUACAUGCAUAUAAAGAAGAAACAUUUAAAGUUUCCACCCUCAAGCAUCCAAAGACAGGAUAACAAUCCUCCCAAAUCUUCAACAUACUUACUAAAGAAAAAGAGAAAAAAAAAAAAAAAAAUUAAAGAGGCCCUGUUCUUAGUGCAUUGUCUAGAUCAGAAAUGAGAUCAUUCACAUCCUCAAUCCCCACAGAUAUACGUACAAGAUCUUCAGUCAAGCCUCUGGCCUCACGAACUGCAGAAGGUAUGCUUGCAUGUGACAUAAAGCACGGCAUGCUGAUAAGGGACUUAACACUCCCUGCCAACAACAAAAAUAACAAGCCCAAUCAACCUCUCUCCAUGCGCAAGCACACAUCAAAAUUCUUUAUUGCUAUCUCAUUUAACAUCUUACAGUUAUUUCUGGAACUAAAUGAAUACAGUUUAAAUCAGUAAAUGAACACAAACUGUUGUUGCUGCAUCAUGGAGAUUUCCAUCUGGUAAAGUACAUCUAAUGAUGUCUAAUCUAAACAAUAUUAUUGGUUUUUGAUUAACAAUGCCACUUUAGGUCUGUCUUUUGAUUUCCACUUUUGAGUAACAUACUUCAUAGUCACUAAUGCCUAGCUAGUAUUCAUAUACAAUAUUGAACUAAAAGGCCCGUUGAGAGAACUGUUGAACUUCAUACGAACUGAUUUUUCAUUAAAGAACUGGUAUCCUGAAGAACCUACCAGAUAUAGUUGUCAUUUUAGUAUUACCAAUUGAAAACUCACUUACCAAAGCUGACGGUUAUGCUGAAGAAUUUGGUAGUUUCAACAAUAUGCCUUGAAAGUGCCAGUGAACCAGUCAAGAAGCUAAGCACAGAUCCUGCACCCUUUGCCUGCAAUGAAAAUAUAUAAUAAAUUGCGGCCACAAAGGAGCAACAAUCUUAAUUUUAAAUUAUACCAUACCACACCUGAGAAUAAUGUAAAUCACGACCGGGAUGAUCAGGCAAGCCAGCAUAAUUCACUUUCUUCACUCGAGGAUGGGAGGCAAGGAACUCAGCAAUCUUUUGUGCAUUAUCCUACACAAGAUUUCUAUUCAAAAUUGACAUCCAUAAACACGCAUAUAUGAUCACCAUAAAAGACUGAUAAGCCAAUUGAAUCUGGGACCCAAAAUGAAAUAUCUUAUUCUGCACAAAUUGAGACCAUUACAAUUUAACAACCAGUCUCCAAAAACAAAUUAACAUUCUGGAGCAGAAGAAUUAAUUUCCUAAGAUCUACAGUUUUAAGGCAGAUUAGAAUCCAAUUCUGAACUCUAAAUCCGAGAAACUAUGAUAAUUUAACAGAUAAGUGAGAAAAGUAUGGGAAUCAUUAGACUGUUGAUCAAAAUUAUGAUUAGUUUCAUGCACGUCUCAUUAUAACACCAUUCAAGCAUGUAAUUAUAUUGUAAGGAUAAACAAAGUUUGACUGACUAUAUGAAAUUUUUAAAAGACCUAAUUAAUUAGCUUCGAAAUCAUAAGUAAAAGUCAAUCAAAGAUUUUAGAAAUAUGUUAAGGAAUAAGAAUACGUGAAUAAUGUGCAGCAGAACCCCAAAUCACCAAGCACGCAAGCAAUUACUGAAAAAUCUUUAAAUAUUCAAGCAAAUGACUACUGAGUUGGAAAGAGAGGGAUCUAUCCAUCCACAAAACUGAUUCCAAAAAAAUAAGGGAAUAUCAGAAUGAGAAAUAGACUGAGAAAGCAAUUUUCAUUUUGAGAAAAACAAAAGGGUAAACUUCCCAACUGAUAAAAUUCACAAGGAUACAACUAUUCAAUGCCUACUACAAUAUCCUUAUACCACUUGGUGAAGUGGACUACAUGGAUCAUACAACACCAUUCGCUCAGUUAAAAUUCAAAUUACCAAGGAUAUCAUUAACCAUUAGAUCCGUUUCAAUAAAUUCCUCCAUUGUCCUUUUUAGUUCCCCUCUAUCUCUUUUCAUAGGACCCAAAACCAUGUGAACUUCUGAUAGACCUUGGAGGGUCUAUGAAAGGAGAAGGAAGAAUAUUCCUGAUAAUUAGUAGUGUAAGCCUAACUGUAUUAAACAGUUAGAAAGGGCGGGAAGCGUGGUUGAACAUUGUAUAAAUACCAGAAUUGUGAGUCGGGGGAGGGUGUGGAUGUUUGUACAUUGUUACAACAGGUUCUGACCUGUGGAAGAGGGUUAUGCCUCUGUAGAGUGUAAACACAUACCAUUCUUUCUGUUAAUAAUACACAGAUUUCCAUUUCCCAUUAUACCCUCAUAUCUCAAAUACCCAUUUCCCAUUAUACCCUUAUAUCUCAAAUACCCUAUAUCCUAACAACUUCCCUCCUCAUUUGUGCUUCCAGUGGCCUUCAUUGUACAUACCUUAACCAUUUCUUUAUCUUUUUUCUCAAUAGGUGUCACACCAACAUCUACUUGUGUACCAUCAAAUCAAACUUUGAUGAAACCCUGAUUAAAAUAAUCCUCAUUCUGUGUCACUGUCAAUCAGAGAUCUUUUUAUGUAUCAUCAUCAUUUUUAGCAACUUAUCACAAAGAUUGAACUUAUGGUACUUGGAAAGAUUCAUGUGUAUUUUACUCAGAAUAUAUUUCAGCCAGUUGUAUUCUUGUUCACUGGACUAAUCAUUAAAAUAUAUAUUUAACUAUUAAUAAUGACAACCAAUACAUGCCCUAAUAUUAUUAUACAAAUAGUAGAAAGUUGCACCUGUUGCUUUUCUACUCUCAGGGCCAUUGUCUUGAUUCCUCGCAUACAAAGCCAACAGUCAAAUGGGGCUAAGCCUGAACCCUCCGCAUUCUGCAAGAAAUACAAUUCCUUUCCCAACCUUAAGAUUGACAAAAGUAGAUAACCAUCAGGGAGGAGAUGUAAAGUGAAUGCCAAGUACAUCCAGAGUAAUUUAAAAGAAUAAUAAUAAAAAUGAAAACUUCAUUACAAGAAUAAUUGCAAGUAGCUUAUGAAAGAUCAAAAGUCUAUGAUUAAACUUUUGCUUAAUGAAGCUUGUAAAAAAAACAAAAAGGGAUCGAAAAAAAUAGCUGACAAGGGUAUCGUUACCAAUUUUGAAGGAGCUUAAGCACUCAGAACUUAACAAAGCAAAGGGAUUAACUCCUUCUUCCCUUGGUUUUUCUCAUUUAAAACCAAGCUCGUGGAACUUUUCACUACAUACCUUAAAAAAAUUAUUUACUCAAGCAUUUCAAAUAUGCAUCAAAUCAAAUUCAUCUUGUAGAAAAGCUUGCCAAUAUUUACUGAACCAUUUAACAUAUUAACAGACAAAAGCAUUUCCUCAAAAUACAAAUAAAAAGAUGCUAUUCAAUUAAAUUUAAACCACAGCAUUAGUGAAAAUGAAAUAUAGACUGACAAGUUUAAAUGACAAAAACAAUAAAUUAAUAUCUUUAAUAUCUGAAAAAUUGAGAAACAUUAAAAGAGCAAUUACUUUUCACCCUUCACAGCAAGCACACCAGCCAUAAUGUCACUAUGUCCACCAAUAAAUUUUGUAGCUGAGUGCAUGACAAUAUCUGCAGCGCAAAAGUACCAAUCUGAGUAUACUUUGGGCAGAACUAGCCUUGUUGAGAUUAUCUUUAUAUGUUCCUUUAUGCAUUAAAAUAUAAAAGAGUGAAAAAUGGACUUUGCAUUAUAUCAUACUCUUCACAAAUAUUUCUAUUUAAAAUGACAAUAGAGUAAACAUUACAGUUAAUAUAUAGUGCUAAGCAACCAACAAAAUGGAUAUGUAAUUUUGUCAUUUGUAUAUUUGGGUAUGAAACACAAAUACCGAAAAACCAGUACAAAUAAUGAAGUACAUUGCAUAUUUUUCACUCUUAGUCUUUGAGGAAUUGGAAAUGGUUUUCAAUAUUUCACUCCUCACAUUCCACCUUCAAUUUUCUUCUGCCUGUGUUAGCAAGCAUGUUUUAAAGAAGCGAGUAGAUAUAUUUAUACUCAUUAGCUUAUAUAGUAGCUAAUACCUGCUCCAAGUUCUAAUGGUCGUGACAAUACAGGUGACAUGAUACUAUUGUCCACUAACACAAGAGCACCAUGAGAAUGAGCCAUCUCUGCUAUUUUCUGGACAUGAAUUAAGAAAGGAGAAAGAAAAAGAAAUUUCAUAUUAUUGAGAGUAAAACCAUUUAAUGUUUCAGAUCAGAAGUUCAUAUCAUACAUACAAGAAGAGGACUUAAAUUUUAAAAUAUGUUUGAUAUCAGAUACUACAAAUAAUUAAAUAACAAAGUACUGAAGCUAAUAGUAAUUCAGGGAUAAAAAAUGUCCUAUAAACUAUGAAGGACAAAUGUCUAAACUUUACUGAAAUUGUAAGUUAUUUUCAACAUAGAAAACAUGAUUUAUAAUUAAAAAGUAAAAUAUACAGCCAUACCAAUUACAGUAAGAAAACUACUAUUGGCAGGUCUGCAAGUUUCAACAUUGCAGCGACCUCUUAUCUAGGUAGGAAAAACUGAUGGAGAAUACACUUAUUGCUGGCAGUCAUAAUUAGAUAUACAGCCUGAUAGAUAUUAAAGUCAGGGUAUUAGUUAUGGAUUAUUAUUAUUUAUAAUUGUAACACUGUAAACAUAAGGGAACAAAUUAUCAUGUUUGCUGACGUCACUAUAUAUAUAUAUAUAUAUAUAUAUAUAUAUAUAUAUAUAUAUAUAUAUAUAUAUAUAUAUAUAUAUAUAUCCCUUUUUAUCAUAUUUUUGGAAAAGGGAGAGUAAGAAGAAUCAGAGUGAAAUGCCUUAUUAAAAGACAUCAAUUCCACAGCAUGUCCUGAAUACCUAGAAAUAAUAUUCCUUGGAAGUUGACAUUUCAAAUUACAGAAACUUCCUCAUAGUUUCUUAGGUGUAACACUUAGUGAGAUAAAGAAGACGACAACAUCAACCACCAUAGAAAAACUUAAUCAAUACCAGUCAGAACUACAAAAUAUGACACCUUACUCGAAUAUCAGAAAUUUGUAGCCGAGGAUUGGUUGGACUCUCAAGCCACACAAGCUUAGUCCUGGGUCCAAUGGCAGAUGCAACCUCAUUCAGAUCACUUGUAUUUAUCCGUCUGCAAAAACAAGAAUUAACCUCACAUCAUUAAAAAAUUUGUACUCCAUGGAACCAACAAAGUUGGUUGAUAUUUUAUAUAAUUAAUUACCCAAUCGACAGUAAAUAACAAAGCAUAACCAACAAAUCAGACUAACUUCACCACAACUCCAGUCCUUGGAACUACUUGAGACAGCAACCUAUCUGAGCCCCCAUAUACAUCAUCUCCAGCAACAAUUUCCUCACCUAUAUGUACAUUGCCAGGAGUAAAUAACAAUUAACUGUCAUGUCUUUUUAAAACACGAAAAUCUGUUUGCAACCCCACAGUUCAGGAGGAAGUUUUCUAUGUAGUCUGUUCUGGUUUUGUUAUGUAUCUGACACAGGACCAAUUGACGAAAAAAUGUAAGAGUGAUAAGAACAAACUGACAGAGGCCCCACAAUAAAAAAAAAAAAUGUAACACUAUAUCACAUUGUGCACCUCUUUGAUUUUUUUUAGUAAACUUAUAAUUAAAUCACAUCUAUAAUAAAAAUAACCUUAGACUCUGUAGCUUCUCGGUAAGUAAACUAAGCUAAACUAAAAUAACUAACAAUGAAGAUGGAUCAGAUUUUAUCACACUGAAGAAAGAAAAUGCACCAGUUCCAACGAGAUGAACAACAGCAGUCAAAGCAGCCAUUCCGCUGGUGAAGCACAAGGCUCUAUCUGCUUUAUCAAGUUUUGCCAGUAAACUAAGAACAUAAAACAUGCAAAUUAAAAGAGGAUGGACAAAGAAACAUAAUAUGAAACAUCAUAGUUGCAACCCAAAACGAAACCAAUCACAUCUUUAUCAAACCUUUCUAAAGCAUCCCGAGUAGGAUUUCCACUUCUAGUAUAGUCAUAGGGACCGUUUUCUAUUGCAGAAGGCUGCAUAAAGAAGAGUAUAAGACACAAAAUAAGCUGACGCAUGACAGCUAGAGUUAGUUGUGAGAGUUAGCUAAUUCUGUUAAUAAAAGUUGGAUAUAAAUGGCAAAUGGAUUGCCAUUGGACAGUUAGUUUUUUCAUAAUCCAGUUUUGUAAUUCUUGAUCAGUAUUCAAUAUACUUCACGGAACUUUUCUUCUCUUGGGUUCCGUGUUUCUGAUUUUAGUUCUUCCAGUAGAAUAGAUUCCUAGAACUAGCAAUUAUCACAUCAUAGAGAUGUUAAAAGAAAGACAUUUAAUAGGGAAGCUUAACAUACUAAAUACUCACGGGAGCAUCAUGCAUUGAUCAAAGAUACAAAGCUAUACAAAGCUUCACCUGCUUGAAAGUAGCAGUUUGGUAAAGUGGGGGGCUAAUUGCUCCAAAAGGAUCAAACUUGUUCUCAAAAUUCAUCACUAUCGUAGAGAUACUAGGCUCCCCUAAAUCCUCUUCUGCAAACAGAAAUAAUUAGCAUUUAUACGCUAACAUAUGAACCCUAUAUAUGGAUUGAGCUCAGGACAUACAGAACAUACCACUUAAGCUCACGACAGCAUCGUCCACAAAAGAUGAUGAUGACGACUCCACCUCCAUCUCUCUGUUAUCAACCAAGCAACUCAGCUUGAACCCCUCAGUAGACAACACUCUCUUGGUACUGAAAUUUUCUGACUUGUUAAACCCCAAACACUCCCACCUGGUUGUAGCAGUCGAGCUCUGAAACACACCAUGCCAAGGAGAGAAUACGAACCAUUAUACAAACGAAACUGGAUCGUCAUCAUUGAGUGAAAAAUAUGAUUUUGAAACAUGCUUUGAGCUCUUCAAAGAAAAUGGGUCAUCAUGGGGGAAGUCCACAAUUAUCAUAUCUACAAGACUUCAAUUUUUUGUCUGCCAUUUUUGCAUUUUGCCCCAAAAAUGAAAAGUGUAUUUUCUUGCACUCUCUCUCAAAUAAAAUAAAAUUAAAAAAAAAAAAAAAAAACGUAAGGGAAUUUUUUUUACCUGAGCAUAACGAUCAAUGACGAGUGACUGAAGGAAGGGCUUCAGAGAAAUUGCAGAAGAAAGCAUUAUUGAAGUUGAUAUGUUUGGAACUGUACUAUGAUGUUGUCUGCGCUUGUGUUAGCGUUGGAUUGUUCGAUUUCGAUGUCUAUGCAUUUGGUCGACAUUUCGGUGUGUGGGGGACUUUAUAAGAAUUUCAUUUGGUGAAAAUUUGGUUCAUAAUUCCCAAUUUUGUUUUGUGCAAAUAAUGUACUAAUUUUAGAAAAUUUUAAUUUUUAAAUUAAAAUUAGAUAAAAAAAAAUUGGCUGUUUUAAUUUCGCUCUUCUUUUCUCUGCUGAGGAGAGAAUAAAAUGUGACAGUGGAAGAAUGGUUUUUGCCAUUGAUGAACUUUGCACCUCGUCUAUUUCAUCCUGCACUCUCAAAUAUACAUAUUUAUACUUCAUUUAUUAAAGUUAAAACAGAAUUAAUGAUGAUUUAACGAUGUCUUAACCAUCAAUCAUCCUUCUAACCACCAACUUUUUUCUUAUUGUAUAAAUCACCCCUCUUUCCCUCUUGCAGUUUUCACUUGUAUCACAGUAGCAUUUUUUCAAUGUUUGAUUGUUUUCUAGGUUGAGAGUUGAGAGGUUAGAGAGUGUAGUGGUUAUGUUGUGUGUUGGUUGUGUUGUGGAUAUUGGACGAGAAAGAAGGUGGUCAUAAAAAGUUCUUCAAGAGGUUAAUUUAAUAUUUAAAUACCAUAACCGCACUUCGAACUGUGGUUAAGUGGUAGUGCACUUCCAACUGCGGUUUCAUUGUGCAUCUUAAAAAUCAUAAUCGCACUUCAAACUAUGGUUAAGUGGUGGCAUACUUCCAACUGUGGUUUCAUUGUGCAUCUUAAAAACCAUAACCGCACUUCGAAGUGUGGUUCAGUGGUGGCGCACUUCGAACUGUCAUUUUACUGUGUAUACUUUAUUUUUACACACUUCAACCGCAUUUUGAACUAUGGUUUAUGAGUGUUUCAUUUUCGUUUAUUGUGCAUAGUUUUUUUUAACCCUCCCUAUGUAUUUGACAUGUUUGCUUAUGAUUAAUGAAUGUUUUCUGCAGAGAUUAUUUUAAUCUCCCUAUUUUGUACUAAAUCCUGAUGUUCUGUGCAUAAUUCUCCUUUUUGUUGUCCCUUGUUGUCCCUUGCUGCCAGUGUUAUUGUGAUAGAAUGAAUGGUUGUGGUGCAGAAAUCUUUUAGGUUCUGUUUCUUAUAGAUUUGGAUUUGCAUUCAUAAUAAACUUUAUCUAAGCCUCUCUAAACUGAGAGUGAUAUUUAAGGAGUAUAUGUUGAUACUAAGAGUGAUAUUUGAGGAAUAUAUGUUGAUAGGAUAUUAUUCAUGGUCUCGGGGUAUUGCAAAAGCAGUAAGAGAAGGGGAAACAAAGUCUCGAGUUGCAUGAGAGGGAAUUGUAUAAAUGAGUAUUUGGGUGGAGAAAUAAGGGGGGUUGUUCUCGGGUUGAAUGGUAGGAGAAAAUUAAAAUGAAGGAUAAAUGGGUUUGAAGGAGAAAGAAAAUCAAAGAAUGUGUAGUUUACAUUGGGUGGACGAAGUGAGUGGAGAGAGAAAAGAAACCUUUGCAUGGAGUAUUAAGGACAUUGGUUACCUUGUUUUGGAGUUGCUACUGGAAGUAGGUGGAAGUAGGAAAAAAGAAGAAGAAAUAUUGUGGUUGUAGAGAAGAUAUGAGUGUAAUAGAAUGGUGAUGAUGUUGUGUUUAUACGUAAGUAAUUAAGAGAAACGGAAGAAUGGGGUAUUGGGUUUUUAGUUAAAAAAGAAAAAGAAAAAGAAUUAAAUAAAAGUAAAAAGAAAAGAAAGAAGAAAAUUGUAUUUUUAAUAAGUUAAGAAUGAGUGUAGAACCACGGUGAGGGUGUUUAAUCCUUUAAAUGGUAUUUAAUUUAGAACCACGUUGAAUUUGUAUGCGGAGAUAAUAUUCCUCUUUCAUUGUCUUAUUUAAUUUAGAAUAAGUUGCGAGAAGGCCAGUACCGAUGUUA
rnacentral:lncRNA from 1 species